GAUGAAGAACGUAGCGAAAUGCGAUACUUGGUGUGAAUUGCAGAAUCCCGUGAACCAUCGAGUCUUUGAACGCAAGUUGCGCCCGAAGCCACUAGGCCGAGGGCACGCCUGCCUGCGCGUCACACGUCGUUGCCCCCCACCAUCUACUCCUUCGGGAUUGCGGGGGGCGGAUGAUGGCCUCCCGUGCGCCUAGCCGCGCGGUUGGCAUAAAUACCAAGUCCUCGGCGACGCACGCCACGACAAUCGGUGGUUGCGAAACCGCGGUUGCCCGUCGUGUGCGUUCGUCGCGCAUCGAGGGCUCGAAAAAAUGCUCGGCUCCGGCUCGGCUUUCAACGCGACCCCAGGUCAGGCGGGGUUACCCGCUGAAUUUAAGCAUAUCAAUAAGCGGAGGA
rnacentral:misc_RNA from 1 species